rnacentral:rRNA from 1 species
AACGAACGCUGGCGGCAGGCCUAACACAUGCAAGUCGAGCGCCCCUUCGGGGGAGCGGCGGACGGGUUAGUAACGCGUGGGAACGUGCCCUUCUCUACGGAAUAGCCUCGGGAAACUGAGAGUAAUACCGUAUACGCCCUUAGGGGGAAAGAUUUAUCGGAGAAGGAUCGGCCCGCGUUGGAUUAGGUAGUUGGUGGGGUAAUGGCCUACCAAGCCGACGAUCCAUAGCUGGUUUGAGAGGAUGAUCAGCAACACUGGGACUGAGACACGGCCCAGACUCCUACGGGAGGCAGCAGUGGGGAAUCUUAGACAAUGGGGGAAACCCUGAUCUAGCCAUGCCGCGUGAGUGACGAAGGCCCUAGGGUCGUAAAGCUCUUUCGCUAGGGAAGAUAAUGACGGUACCUAGUAAAGAAGUCCCGGCUAACUCCGUGCCAGCCGCCGCGGUAA